rnacentral:rRNA from 1 species
UACGGAGGGGGCUAGCGUUGCUCGGAAUCACUGGGCGUAAAGGGUGCGUAGGCGGGUCUUAAGUCAGGGGUGAAAUCCUGGAGCUCAACUCCAGAACUGCCCUUUGAUACUGAAGAUCUUGAGUUCGGGAGAGGUGAGUGGAACUGCGAGUGUAGAGGUGAAAUUCGUAGAUAUUCGCAAGAACACCAGUGGCGAAGGCGGCUCACUGGCCCGAUACUGACGCUGAGGCACGAAAGCGUGGGGAGCAAACAGG